rnacentral:rRNA from 1 species
AGCCUAUUGAUAAACUUAUAAUAGGUAUAUAUCCUGCCCAGUGAAUUUUCAACGGCCGCGGUAUCCUGACCGUGCAAAGGUAGCAUAAUCAUUUGCCUCCUAAUUAGAGGCUAGUAUGAAUGGAAAAACGAAAGCCUAACUGUCUCCUUUAUAAUAAUAUAAAUUAACCUUCAGGUGAAGAGGCCUGAAUUUAUUUAAAAGACAAGAAGACCCUGUCGAGCUUAAUUCUAUAAAAUAAAAAUUUUAAUUUAAAAUCUUACAAGAAUUUUGUUGGGGCGACAAAGGAACAAAUAUAACUUCCUUAUCUAAUAAAGAUUAUUUAUCAACCUAUAGACCCAUUUCAUGAUCUUUAAUUUUAGCUACCGCAGGGAUAACAGUCUUAUUUCCCCCAAGAGCCCACAUCUACGGGGAAGUUUAGCACCUCGAUGUUGGCUUAGGAAUUCUAUUAAAUGUAGCCGUUUAAAUAGAAGGUUUGUUCAACCUUUAAAAU